GAAGGGUUGUAGAAUGUAUUCC
rnacentral:miRNA from 1 species